UCGCACCUACGGGGCGCAGCAGUGAGGAAUAUUGGUCAAUGGACGCAAGUCUGAACCAGCCAUGCAGCGUGCAGGAAGACGGCGCUAUGAGUUGUAAACUGCUUUUGUACGAGGGUAAAUGCAUGUACGUGUAUGUGUUUGCAUGUAUCGUACGAAUAAGGACCGGCUAACUCCGUGCCAGCAGCCGCGGUAAUACGGAGGAUCCAAGCGUUAUCCGGAUUUAUUGGGUUUAAAGGGUGCGUAGGCGGUUUUAUAAGUUAGAUGUGAAAUUUCGGGGCUCA
rnacentral:rRNA from 1 species